rnacentral:rRNA from 1 species
CCKUUACMCCUACGGGAGGSAGCAGUAGGGGAUCUUCCACAAUGGGCGAAAGCCUGAUGGAGCAACSCCSCGUGGGUGAAGAAGGUCUUCSGAUCGUAAAACCCUGUUGUUAGAGAAGAAAGUGCGUGAGAGUAACUGUUCACGUUUCSACGGUAUCUAACCAGAAAGCCACGGCUAACUACGUGCCAGCAGCCGCGGUAAUACGUAGGUGGCAAGCGUUAUCCGGAUUUAUUGGGCGUAAAGGGAACGCAGGCGGUCUUUUAAGUCUGAUGUGAAAGCCUUCGGCUUAACCGGAGUAGUGCAUUGGAAACUGGGAGACUUGAGUGCAGAAGAGGAGAGUGGAACUCCAUGUGUAGCGGUGAAAUGCGUAGAUAUAUGGAAGAACACCAGKGGSGRARGCGGCUCUCUGGUCUGUAACUGACGCUGAGGUUCGAAAGCGUGGGUAGCAAACAGGAUUAGAUACCCUGGUAGUCCACGCCGCAAACGAUGAAUGCUAAGUGUUGGAGGGUUUCCGCCCUUCAGUGCUGCAGCUAACGCAAUARGCAUUCCGCCUGGGGAGUACGACCGCAAGGUUGAAACUCAAAUGAAUUGACGG